rnacentral:rRNA from 1 species
AUUGAACGCUGGCGGCAGGCCUAACACAUGCAAGUCGAGCGGAGCGGCGGACGGGUGAGUAAUGCCUAGGAAUCUGCCUGGUCGUGGGGGAUAACGUCCGGAAACGGGCGCUAAUACCGCAUACUAUCAGAUGAGCCUAGGUCGGAUUAGCUAGUUGGUGGGGUAAAGGCCUACCAAGGCCACGAUCAGUAACUGGUCUGGGAGGAUGAUGAGUCACACUGGAACUGAGACACGGUCCAGACUCCUACGGGAGGCAGCAGUGGGGAAUAUUGGACAAUGGGCGAAAGCCUGAUCCAGCCAUCCCGCGUGUGCGAUGAAGGCCUUCGGGUUGUAAAGCACUUUUGGCAGGAAGGCGGUACCUGCAGAAUAAGCACCGGCUAACUACGUGCCAGCAGCCGCGGUAAUAC